rnacentral:antisense_RNA from 1 species
GGGUGCCUUGGACUUGUCUGUCCGGGCAACCGGCAGGCAAAGAAAAAGCCCCACCUGACGAUAAAUCAAAGUGGAGCCUCUCUUAUGCAUGACAACAUGAUAGUAGCCCACUUACUCGCCAAAUGGCAAGGAGAAGUCGGCUAUG